rnacentral:lncRNA from 1 species
CCAUGCGAGUAUGUAUUCUACGUUCUGACGGUAAUAGAUAAUAUAUCUCAUGCACUCUUCAGUUGAAGUUUUUCUUCCCUAGUUGAGUAAGAUUCGUAUUUCCUUAUGGAAUUGAAUGUCCAUCCUGUAAUCGAGUCUGCCUUUUUCAGCCCUCCUUUCAGAUGACGAGUGUCUUGGAAAUAUUCCCCAAUUCACGCCUGGUUGGUCACCUAUUAUAUGCCCAAUAACCGGUAUCCCUGGUGUUCCUUCCUUCUGCUCCCUAUUAUGACUUUUGUCCCCUGUGAAGUCAGAUUUUCCUGAGUUGAAAUAUACCUUUUUAGGUCUUCCUCAGAUGUUUUGG